rnacentral:rRNA from 1 species
AUUGAACGCUGGCGGCAUGCCUUACACAUGCAAGUCGAACGGCAGCACGGGAGCAAUCCUGGUGGCGAGUGGCGAACGGGUGAGUAAUAUAUCGGAACGUGCCCAGUCGUGGGGGAUAACGUAGCGAAAGCUACGCUAAUACCGCAUACGAUCUAUGGAUGAAAGCGGGGGAUCGCAAGACCUCGCGCGAUUGGAGCGGCCGAUAUCAGAUUAGGUAGUUGGUGAGGUAAAGGCUCACCAAGCCGACGAUCUGUAGCUGGUCUGAGAGGACGACCAGCCACACUGGGACUGAGACACGGCCCAGACUCCUACGGGAGGCAGCAGUGGGGAAUUUUUGGGACAAUGGGCGCAAGCCUGAUCCAGCAAUGCCGCGUGCAGGAUGAAGGCCUUCGGUUGUAAGUCUGCUUUGUUACUAGG